rnacentral:rRNA from 1 species
AUGGACCUGUCGCCAAACCCCGAGAGCCCGAAUGCCCCGGGCGGCGGCAGCGGCGCCGGUGGAUCUAGCGGCGGUGGAGGGGCGUCCUCGUCUGCUGGGGGUGGAGGCACGCCGCAGACGCCCAGCCGGUACGAGGCGCAGAAGCGGCGGGACUGGAACACGUUCGGGCAGUACCUGCGGAACCACCGGCCGCCGCUGAGCCUCGCGCAGUGCAGCGGCGCGCACGUGCUGGAAUUUCUGCGGUACCUGGACCAGUUCGGCAAGACCAAGGUGCACACGGCGUCGUGCCCCUUCUUCGGCCACCCGAACCCGCCGGCACCCUGCCCAUGCCCGCUCCGCCAGGCCUGGGGGAGCCUCGACGCGCUCGUGGGACGUCUUCGCGCCGCGUUCGAGGAGCACGGCGGCCGCCCCGAGUCCAACCCCUUCGCCGCCCGCGCGGUCCGCCUGUUCCUCCGCGAGGUCCGCGAGCACCAGGCUCGCGCGCGCGGCGUCAGCUACGAGAAGAAGAAGCGCAAGAAGCCGGCGCCUGGUGACGCCAGCAGCAGCGGCAGCCACCCGGCUCUACCCCCGCCGCCGCCGCCCCCCGCCGGUGCGGCCUGCUGA